rnacentral:rRNA from 1 species
GACGAACGCUGGCGGCGUGCUUAACACAUGCAAGUCGAACGGAAAGGCCCUGCUUUUGUGGGGUGCUCGAGUGGCGAACGGGUGCGUAACACGUGUGUAACCUGCCCUUCACUUUGGGAUAACUUCAGGAAACUGGGGCUAAUACCGGAUAGGAUCUCCUGCUGCAUGGUGGGCGUUGGAAAGUUUCGGCGGUUGGGGAUGGACUCGCGGCUUAUCAGCUUGUUGGUUGGGUAGUUGCUUACCAAGGCUUUGACGGGUAGCCGGCCUGAGAGGGUGACCGGCCACAUUGGGACUGAGAGACGGCCCAGACUCCUACGGGAGGCAGCAGUGGGGAAUAUUGCACAAUGGGCGGAAGCCUGAUGCAGCAACGCCGCGUGCGGGAUGACGGCCUUCGGGUUGUAAACCGCUUUCGCCUGUGACGAAGCGUGAGUGACGGUAAUGAGUAAAGAAGCACCGGCUAACUACGUG